rnacentral:rRNA from 1 species
UGCGUAGGUGGUUGGGUAAGUUUGAUGUGAAAGCUCUGGGCUCAACCCAGAAAUGGCAUUGAAUACUAUUCGACUAGAGGAGUGGAGGGGGGACUGGAAUACUUGGUGUAGCAGUGAAAUGCGUAGAUAUCAAGUGGAACACCAGUGGCGAAGGCGAGUCCCUGGACACUUCCUGACACUGAGGCACGAAAAGCUAGGGGAGGCAAACA